rnacentral:lncRNA from 1 species
UCUUUAUCCAAAUUCAUGUCUAUGUAAAGCGAUGUACUGUUGUUAUUUUGCUGUUUCUUUCUUUUACUGUAGCUCUUCCAAAAGUUCUCAGCUCUUUCUGAGUUUCAUUAAAGGCAUCUUCAAGAUAAACAGAAAAUAACUAAUUACAGAUGUGUUGAAUUGGACCUUUCCUAUUAAUUUCUUUUUAUUGCUUACACAGAUGUUAUCAAGUUUAACCCUUACAGCCGGGAUUCUUGUGUUCACAGUGUGCAAAUCUCCAGGGAGUCAAGAUGCUCUGCUCAAACGCAGAAGGUGCAUCCCUGAGGCUCUGUAAUUUUGAGGAUCCUUCAGGUCUUAAAGCCAACUUAGAGGGUGCUAAUCUGAAAGGUGUGGACAUGGAAGGAAGCCAGAUGACAGGGAUUAACCUCAGAGUUGCUACCUUAAAAAAUGCGAAACUGAAGAACUGUAAUCUCAGAGGAGCAACUCUGGCAGGAACAGAUUUAGAAAACUGUGAUUUGUCGGGGUGUGACCUCCAGGAAGCCAACUUGAGAGGCUCCAACGUGAAGGGUGCCAUAUUUGAAGAGAUGCUGACACCAUUACAUAUGUCUCAGAGUGUCAGAUGAGAGUGGCAAGAGCUGGAGGAAGAUGUCCCAGAUGAAAACGUUUCCUUAUUUUAUAUCUCCCAUCUAUCAAGUUGUCUAGUGGAGAGAAAACUGUAAGGGAAUUUAAGGCAUAUGUUUGUUCCCAGAGGUGCAUAAGGGGAAGUAAUUGCAUUUCCCUCAUUGUGACUGUAACAGAAGAACACUCUGUUCAUAGAUGUAGGGAAAGUAGACCAUGCUGCUGCAUUUUGAGUGGAGUUGGGGCGUUUGUCUGGUUUCUGACCAGGAGUAGUAGCUAUUCUAUUUGCUUUUAUUUAGGCAUUGUAUGGAAGAACCAUCUUGGUUUAAGAUGCAUUGAGAGUUUUAAUUUAUGAAAAGCACAACAUAUGCAAAUAUAUUUAUUGAAUACCUAGAUGCAGUAAGGAUGUUUAAGUUGUUAAACGUCUUGAAGACUCUGACGAGUUGUUCGGGUUUAUAAAUAGCUUUAGUAAUGCCUUCCUCUUCAAACACCUAUCCAUCCUGUGAGGGUGAUUAGUUUAAGACUCCCUUGGCUCUUUUGAAAUUCAUUUCUGUAAUGUUUACUUUUAAAGAAGAAAACAGCAAACUUUGAGUCAUAGUCUGUUC